UUGAUUUGCGCUGGCAUUUGAAGCUGACAGGUUUUCUAAACUCGGCAGGGAUCCUUUUUUUUCUUGGGGCCUUCUUUGGUUCGAUGACUCAUGGCAAGUAUAUAAUAAGCACUUAUGUUUCUUUGAAAAUCACAAUAUCUCAAGCGUUGUCGGCUGUAGUACAUACAUUGGGGUUAAAGCAAUGAAGAUCAGUUUUAGCACAGCAAUGAUAUUCGGCUUUGUAUUGGUGCUUGCUAGCCUUUCUCACAGGUCUGAGAGUGCUGGGGCUUUUAUAGGACAUCGCAAAGCUGGAAGACAGUUACAAAAUMGAGGGAAAAUACUAACGUCUUUAGAAGAUUUCCCAAUGAAACGCUCAAGAGAAUUUGUACGAAGUCUUUACAAACCGUCUGUCAUGGAUCAAUUGGACGCAUUCAGAAGGAGACAAACAGAGUCGAGAGAACAUAGACCACAUGCUGAGUAGCACUUCAAACACCGUMAAAACUGAGCUCUUAGUGCAGGUCAUUUUUUAAACAACCUUCAGUAAUAAAAUAUCACAUGAUUUUAAUUAGCAACUGAACACCUUCAAUACAAAAACAAGAAAAAGAUCACAGGACAAUCAUCUUUAUGCUAAAAAAGAAAGUGGUUAUGUCGAUUAAAGCCUUAUUAAACGGAUUAUCAAUGAAAUAUCUUUUAAUUUUAUUUUGUUUAAGACAAAAUCAUCAUCUUAUUUUGAUCAGAAAUGCAACAGAGAAUUUCAACAAAAGACCGCCACCAACUGCCCAAAAAUGAAUAAAAAAUAGUACCAACAGCU